AGUUCCUCCAGUUAAAACAAGCAAUGGUGAUCUAACAAUGGUUGAAGCUGAUGAAGUAGAGUACUCUGAGCUGCAUUUGGUUUCUCUCAACAGCGCCCCCUGUUGUCAUGCAGAUGAUGUAAUCUACUCUAAACCUAGAGCUAAUAGAUCUGCCAACGACAACAAUGAUUCGCCUGCUAUUUAGUCCCCUUGAUUUGCAGAGCUAGUUUUACAGCAGCUCUGCUGCUCCUGGUCAUCAGAUAAAAUCCUAAUCAUAA